UACGUAGGGGGCUAGCGUUGUCCGGAAUCAUUUGGGACGUAAAGAGCGUGUAGGCGGCCCGGUAAGUCCGCUGUAAAAGUCAAAGGCUCAACCUUUGAAUGUCAGUGGAUACUGCCGGGCUAGAGUCCGGAAGAGGCGAGUGGAACUCUGGUGUAGCGGUGGAAUGCGCAGAUAUCAGGAAGAACACCAACGGCGAAGGCAGCUCGCUGGGACGGUACUGACGCUGAGACGCGAAAGCGUGGGGAGCGAACAGG
rnacentral:rRNA from 1 species